GGAUAUUAAGGCGAUCGGGCUGUGACGUGUAGCCCCAUUGAUCACCGGGGUUGAUUUGGCUGCUCUGGAUGGCUAAGCAAGUUGCCCCCACUUCCUCCCUCACCACUCCACAAUUUGCUGGAAUGGAGAACGGCCGGUCUAAGGUCGAAGGUAGCCCAGUAGCUGUGUUCCCCUGCUAGGACCUUCAAAAAAGCUCGCAAGGUCUCUCUAUAACAGCAACAAAUGUUCUUAAACCCCAAGGCAUGUCGCCAUCCCUU
rnacentral:snRNA from 1 species